rnacentral:rRNA from 1 species
UACGAAGGGGGCUAGCGUUGUUCGGAUUUACUGGGCGUAAAGCGCACGUAGGCGGAUCGUUAAGUUAGGGGUGAAAUCCCAGGGCUCAACCCUGGAACUGCCUUUAAUACUGGGUGUCUUGAGACCGGAAGAGGUAAGUGGAACUGCGAGUGUAGAGGUGAAAUUCGUAGAUAUUCGCAAGAACACCAGUGGCGAAGGCGGCUUACUGGUCCGGAUCUGACGCUGAGGCGCGAAAGCGUGGGGAGCAAACAGG